CUCUAGUGGCGGACGGGUGAGUAACACGUGAGAAUUUACCUUUAGGAGGGGGAUAACAAUUGGAAACGAAUGCUAAUACCCCAUAUGCUUUUGAGUGAAAUGGAUUUAUCCGCCUAAAGAGAAGCUCGCGGCUGAUUAGCUUGUUGGUAAGGUAAGAGCUUACCAAGGCGACGAUCAGUAUCUGGUUUGAGAGGACGAUCAGACACACUGGAACUGAGACACGGUCCAGACUCCUACGGGAGGCAGCAGUGGGGAAUUUUCCGCAAUGGGCGAAAGCCUGACGGAGCAAUACCGCGUGAGGGACGACUGCCUAUGGGUUGUAAACCUCUUUUUUCAGGGAGGAAUCAAUGACGUGUACCUGAAGAAUAAGCAUCGGCUAACUCCGUGCCAGCAGCCGCGGUAAGACGGAGGAUGCAAGUGUUAUCCGGAAUCACUGGGCGUAAAGCGUCUGUAGGUGGUUUAAUAAGUCAACUGUUAAAUCUUGAGGCUCAACUUCAAAAUCGCAGUCGAAACUAUUAGACUAGAGUAUAGUAGAGGUAAAGGGAAUUUCCAGUGGAGCGGUGAAAUGCGUAGAUAUUGGAAAGAACACCGAUGGCGAAAGCACUUUAGUGGGCUAUUACUAACACUCGGAGACGAAAGCUAGGGUAGCAAAUGGGAUUAGAUACCCCAGUAGUCCUAGCCGUAAACAAUGGAUACUAGA
rnacentral:rRNA from 1 species